rnacentral:rRNA from 1 species
GACGAACGCUGGCGGCGUGCUUAACACAUGCAAGUCGAACGGAAAGGCCCUGCUUUUGUGGGGUGCUCGAGUGGCGAACGGGUGAGUAACACGUGAGUAACCUGCCCUUGACUUUGGGAUAACUUCAGGAAACUUGGGCUAAUACCGGAUAGGAGCUCCUGCUGCAUGGUGGGGGUUGGAAAGUUUCGGCGGUUGGGGAUGGACUCGCGGCUUAUCAGCUUGUUGGUGGGGUAGUGGCUUACCAAGGCUUUGACGGGUAGCCGGCCUGAGAGGGUGACCGGCCACAUUGGGACUGAGAUACGGCCCAGACGCCUACGGGAGGAAGCAGUGGGGAAUAUUGCACAAUGGGCGGAAGCCGGAUGCAGCAACGCCGCGUGCGGGAUGACGGCCUUCGGGUUGUAAACCGCUUUCGCCUGUGACGAAGAGUGAGUGACGGUAAUGGGUAAAGAAGCACCGGCUAACUACGUG